GAGUUUGAUUAUGGCUCANNCCUUUNAGNGUGGCGGUAUGCUUAACACAUGCAAGUCGAACGCCANAGCCCUUUCGGGGGUAAGUAGAGUGGCGGACGGGUGAGUAAGGCAUGGGAAUCUGCCCUGUAGCGGGGGAUAACUUGGGGAAACUCAAGCUAAUACCGCAUACACCUACGGGUAAAAGGUGGCCUCUUCUUGAAAGCUAUCACUAUAGGAUGAGCCCAUGUAAGAUUAGCUAGUUGGUGGGGUAAAGGCCUACCAAGGCGACGAUCUUUAGCUGGUCUGAGAGGACGAUCAGCCACACUGGGACUGAGACACGGCCCAGACUCCUACGGGAGGCAGCAGUGGGGAAUAUUGGACAAUGGGGGCAACCCUGAUCCAGCAAUACCGCGUGUGUGAAGAAGGCCUGCGGGUUGUAAAGCACUUUUAUCUGUGAGGAAGGGUUUAAUGCUAAUAUCAUUAGACAUUGACGUUAACAGAAGAAAAAGCACCGGCUAACUCUGUGCCAGCAGCCGCGGUAAUACAGAGGGUGCAAGCGUUAAUCGGAAUUACUGGGCGUAAAGGGCGCGUAGGCGGCCUUGUAAGUCGGAUGUGAAAGCCCUGAGCUUAACUUGGGAACUGCAUUCGAUACUGCAUGGCUAGAGUACAGAAGAGGAAAGUGGAAUUCCCAGUGUAGCGGUGAAAUGCGUAGAUAUUGGGAAGAACAUCAGUGGCGAAGGCGACUUUCUGGACUGAUACUGACGCUGAGGUACGAAAGCGUGGGGAGCAAACAGGAUUAGAUACCCUGGUAGUCCACGCCCUAAACGAUGUCAACUAGCUGUUGGGGGAUUAUAUUCCUUUAGUAGCGAAGCUAACGCGCUAAGUUGACCGCCUGGGGAGUACGGCCGCAAGGUUAAAACUCAAAUGAAUUGACGGGGGCCCGCACAAGCGGGGGAGCAUAUGGUUUAAUUCGAUGCAACGCGAANAACCUUACCUACUCUUGACAUCCUAGGAAGCUUUCANANAAGAA
rnacentral:rRNA from 1 species